rnacentral:rRNA from 1 species
GAUGAACGCUGGCGGCGUGCCUAAUACAUGCAAGUCGAGCGAACAGAUAAGGAGCUUGCUCCUUUGAAGUUAGCGGCGGACGGGUGAGUAACACGUGGGUAACCUACCUAUAAGACUGGGAUAACUUCGGGAAACCGGAGCUAAUACCGGAUAACAUUUAGAACCGCAUGGUUCUAAAGUGAAAGAUGGUUUUGCUAUCACUUAUAGAUGGACCCGCGCCGUAUUAGCUAGUUGGUAAGGUAACGGCUUACCAAGGCGACGAUACGUAGCCGACCUGAGAGGGUGAUCGGCCACACUGGAACGGAGACACGGUACAGACUCCGACGGGAGGCAGCAGUAGGGAAUCUUCCGCAAUGGGCGAAAGCCUGACGGAGCAACGCCGCGUGAGUGAUGAAGGGUUUCGGCUCGUAAAACUCUGUUAUUAGGGAAGAACAAAUGUGUAAGUAACUGUGCACAUCUUGACGGUACCUAAUCAGAAAGCCACGGCUAACUACGUG